rnacentral:rRNA from 1 species
UACGAAGGGGGCUAGCGUUGCUCGGAAUCACUGGGCGUAAAGGGUGCGUAGGCGGGUCUUUAAGUCCGGGGUGAAAUCCUGGAGCUCAACUCCAGAACUGCCUUUGAUACUGAGGAUCUUGAGUUCGGGAGAGGUGAGUGGGACUGCGAGUGUAGAGGUGAAAUUCGUAGAUAUUCGCAAGAACACCAGUGGCGAAGGCGGCUCACUGGCCCGAUACUGACGCUGAGGCACGAAAGCGUGGGGAGCAAACAGG